rnacentral:rRNA from 1 species
AUUGAACGCUGGCGGCAGGCCUAACACAUGCAAGUCGAGCGGAUGAAGGGAGCUUGCUCCUGGAUUCAGCGGCGGACGGGUGAGUAAUGCCUAGGAAUCUGCCUGGUAGUGGGGGAUAACGUCCGGAAACGGGCGCUAAUACCGCAUACGUCCUGAGGGAGAAAGUGGGGGAUCUUCGGACCUCACGCUAUCAGAUGAGCCUAGGUCGGAUUAGCUAGUUGGUGGGGUAAAGGCCUACCAAGGCGACGAUCCGUAACUGGUCUGAGAGGAUGAUCAGUCACACUGGAACUGAGACACGGUCCAGACUCCUACGGGAGGCAGCAGUGGGGAAUAUUGGACAAUGGGCGAAAGCCUGAUCCAGCCAUGCCGCGUGUGUGAAGAAGGUCUUCGGAUUGUAGAGCUCUUUAAGUUGGGAGGAAGGGCAGUAAGUUAAUACCUUGCUGUUUUGACGUUACCAACAGAAUAAGCACCGGCUAACUUCGUG